UACGUAGGGCGCAAGCGUUGUCCGGAAUUAUUGGGCGUAAAGAGCUCGUAGGCGGCUUGUCGCGUCGGGUGUGAAAGCUUGGGGCUUAACCCCAAGUCUGCAUCCGAUACGGGCAGGCUAGAGGCAGGUAGGGGAGAACGGAAUUCCCGGUGUAGCGGUGAAAUGCGCAGAUAUCGGGAGGACCCCCGGUGGCGAAGGCGGUUCCCUGGGCCGGUCCUGACGCUGAGGAGCGAAAGCGUGGGAGCGAACAGG
rnacentral:rRNA from 1 species